rnacentral:rRNA from 1 species
UACAGAGGGUGCGAACGUUGUUCGGAUUUACUGGGCGUAAAGCGUGUGUAGGCGGCUAUGUAAGUCGGAUGUGAAAGCCCCAGGCCUCAACCUGGGAAGUGCACUCGAUACUGCGUAGCUUGAGUAUCGGAGAGGUUGGUGGAAUUCUCGGUGUAGAGGUGAAAUUCGUAGAUAUUGGGAAGAACACCGGUGGCGAAGGCGACGACCUGGUCCGAUACUGACGCUGAGGCGCGAAAGCGUGGGGAGCAAACAGG